GGCGGAUGUAGCCAAGUGGAUCAAGGCAGUGGAUUGUGAAUCA
rnacentral:tRNA from 9 species